rnacentral:rRNA from 1 species
UUCCGGUUGAUCCCGCCGGACCUGACUGCUAUCGGAUUGGUACUAAGCCAUGCGAGUCGUUGUAGCAAUACAAGGCGGACGGCUCAGUAACACGUAGUCAACCUAACCUAUGGACGUGGAUAACCUCGGGAAACUGAGAAUAAACCGCGAUAGAUCAUUAUGCCUGGAAUGGCUUAUGGUUCAAACAAUUUAUUGCCGUAGGAUGGGACUGCGGCCUAUCAGCUUGUUGGUGAGGUAAUGGCCCACCAAGGCUAUAACAGGUACGGGCUCUGAGAGGAGAAGCCCGGAGAUGGGUACUGAGACACGGACCCAGGCCCUAUGGGGCGCAGCAGGCGAGAAACCUUAGCAAUGUGCGAAAGCACGACUAGGUUAAUCCGAGUGAUUUCUGUUGAAGAAAUCUUUUGUCAGUCGUAAAACCACAGACGAAUAAGGGGUGGGCAAGUCUGGUGUCAGCCGCCGCGGUAAUACCAGCACCUCGAGUGGUCAGGAGGUUUAUUGGGCCUAAAGCAUCCGUAGCCGGCUACGCAAGUCUCCGGUUAAAUCCAGCUGCUCAACAGAUGGGCUGCCGGAGAUACUACAUAGCUAGGGAGCGGGAGAGGUAGACGGUAUUCUGUGGGUAGGGGUAAAAUCCACUGAUCCAUAGAGGACCACCAGUGGCGAAGGCGGUCUACCAGAACGCGUUCGACGGUGAGGGAUGAAAGCUGGGGGAGCAAACCGGAUUAGAUACCCGGGUAGUCCCAGCUGUAAACGAUGCAAACUCGGUGAUGCAUUGGCUUAUGGCCAAUGCAGUGCCGCAGGGAAGCCGUUAAGUUUGCCGCCUGGGAAGUACGGACGCAAGUCUGAAACUUAAAGGAAUUGGCGGGGGAGCA